AAGGAUCAUUAAUGAGAGGGGGGCUUCGCGCUCCAGGGGGGUUACUCCCCGCACCUUUCCACCCUUUGUUGUACCUUCCAUGUUGCUUUGGCGGGCCCCGGGGGGUUAAUCCCUGGCGCUGGUCCCCUAACUGGGGGUUGGCGAGUGCCCGUCGAAGGCCCAUCAAAAAUCUUUUUUUUUAUCAGUGAAGUCCGAGUACAAAACAAAUCAAUUAAAACUUUCAACAACGGAUCUCUUGGUUCUGGCAUCGAUGAAGAACGCAGCGAAAUGCGAUAAGUAAUGUGAAUUGCAGAAUUCAGUGAAUCAUCGAAUCUUUGAACGCACAUUGCGCCCUUGGGAAUUCCUAGGGGCAUGCCUGUUCGAGCGUCAUUAAACCCCUCAAGCAUUGCUUGGUAUUGGGUGCUCGCCCCCCAAGGGCGCACCCCAAAUCUAGUGGCGGUCCAGGGAGACUUCGAGCGCAGUAAAUUACAAUUCGCUUUGGAAGCUUUUCUGCCUGUGGCCUCGCCAGCAACCCCCCCAAUCUUUAACCAAAUUGACCUCGGAUCAGGUAGGGAUACCCGCUGAACUUAA
rnacentral:rRNA from 1 species